UCCAAAUAUGGAAUCUUAUCAUUUUAUUAACUAUUAAUUGUCUGCAUUGCUUGUAAUGUAGUUAUAGGGACUCUAAAAGUCAGAAUUAUAAUAGCAACUUUUUCAGAUUAUAGUCAGGUUUCUAUUAAAUUGUGAGGAGGUUUCUGGUUGCAUUAUCCUUAAAUGGUGAUACAGUCUAAUAGAUUAAUGCCAACUUAAUACAUGCCAUGACGAAAGUGGAAUCCAAAUUAAAAGCAACCUGUCAGAACUGGCCAAUAUAUAAAUAUUGUGUUUCUACACCAUAAUUUUGUAAAUAUGUCUGCUUUCUUUUUUCUUUUUCUUUUUAAACUUAUCCAGGAAGGUCAGAUAUUUCUACAUACAAUUUUUAAAAUAAAAGAGUAAUUCAUAAAAAUUAAAAAGAUCAGGACACCUAGUACUCGGAGUUCCCUGUUAAUUAGUCUUCUUGGGAAAACCUGCCUAUGAUUUAAAAAAAUAAUAAUAAAAUAAAGCUCUUGUCGUUAAAACCCACUGCAUUUCCUUUUGUGCAACUGAAUGUUGUUAACAAUGUUGCAUUCUGGUGAAGUAAAAAAAUCUAAAACUGCACUGAAGUGUUAGUAAUUGGUUCUUGAGCAGAUUCCCCCCUAAUGCUAUUCACUUUUCCCUGCUAAUCUUCCUGUGUGAGCUGUAACAAUGCAGCACCAAGUGAGAAGGAAAUGUCAGGUUAUGUUUCAGGGCCAGCCUCCUGCCCACCCUCCAUCUGUGCUGAUGUCAGUGCUUAUUGGAACAUAUGCUGCCUGUUGCUCACUGGCCAUCUGUUAGCUGAGCUGAUGAAGUGUUCCGGUUGCCGUGGUGACGGAACCCUCGCUUAACAAGAGAGAAGAACAAAUGGAUCUCCCAAGGAAGAGCAUCCCAUAAUUUUUUGACCACCACAUUGAAAACCAUAUCCUUUGUGCUCAAGAAAUUGACAUCUGUAAGGAUGAUAUGCAGGAUUGAACCAACUGAUCUUAUAACAUGGGCAAUGGAAUCAUACAGGAAGAAUCACUCCUUGGACCCAAACCAUUAUUAAAGCUUAAAAUCACUUUCAGCUGAACACAGGAAGACAUUAUAAAUCACAUAAGUUAUUUUAAAACCGGCAACUUUAAAGUUGGUGGUAACUUAAAUUCUUCUUGAUAAGCUGACAGUUGCCUCCUGUAUGCCACUGAAGUUUCUAGGUCAUCAUCUUCAAAGGCAGCUCUGCAUAGAAUAUAUAUUAAUCGUCUCUGGAAGCUACCAUGGUGGGAAUCGCAAUAGACAGGUUUCUGUUUUCCAGCAGGUGGUGUAGUUGCUAGACCAACCAAAGGGGUGUGUGUGGCACAUCGUACCUCCACCUCUGAAUGCCUUAAGAGCAAUGUUGAGCCCAGCAAUGUCUACAGACUGUGAAGCCUACUUCCAUUCCCAGUACAGUACCUGUAAAAUAUGGCCCUUUUGCCAGAGUUUGGAAAAAUGAUAUUUUGGGACUAAAAUUCCCAGACUCCUCUAGCCAGCAGGGCUCCUGGGCUGACUGGGGAAAGGACAGCAUUUAGGAGGCACAAUAAAGGUUAAAAAUACAUUCCCA
ensembl:lncRNA